UACAGAGGUCUCAAGCGUUGUUCGGAUUCAUUGGGCGUAAAGGGCGCGUAGGCGGCGCGUUAAGUCGGGUGUGAAAUCUCGGGGCUUAACUCCGAAACUGCAUUCGAUACUGCCGUGCUUGAGGACUGGAGAGGAGACUGGAAUUUACGGUGUAGCGGUGAAAUGCGUAGAUAUCGUAAGGAAGACCAGUAGCGAAGGCGGGUCUCUGGACAGUUCCUGACGCUGAGGCACGAAGGUCAGGGGAGCAAACGGG
rnacentral:rRNA from 1 species